rnacentral:rRNA from 1 species
GUGGGGAAUAUUGGACAAUGGGGGGAACCCUGAUCCAGCCAUGCCGCGUGUGUGAAGAAGGCCUUUUGGUUGUAAAGCACUUUAAGCGAGGAGGAGGCUACCGAGAUUAAUACUCUUGGAUAGUGGACGUUACUCGCAGAAUAAGCACCGGCUAACUCUGUGCCAGCAGCCGCGGUAAUACAGAGGGUGCAAGCGUUAAUCGGAUUUGCUGGGCGUAAAGCGCGCGUAGGUGGCCAAUUAAGUCAAAUGUGAAAUCCCCGAGCUUAACUUGGGAAUUGCAUUCGAUACUGGUUGGCUAGAGUAUGGGAGAGGAUGGUAGAAUUCCAGGUGUAGCGGUGAAAUGCGUAGAGAUCUGGAGGAAUACCGAUGGCGAAGGCAGCCAUCUGGCCUAAUACUGACACUGAGGUGCGAAAGCAUGGGGAGCAAACAGGAUUAGAAACCCCUGUAGUCC